rnacentral:rRNA from 1 species
GAUGAACGCUGACAGAAUGCUUAACACAUGCAAGUCUUUGGCGAAGCUGUGCUUGCACAGCCUAGCCAAGGCGGACGGGUGAGUAACGCGUAAGGAACUUGCCCUGCAGUCAGGGAUAACAGACGGAAACGACUGAUAAGACCUGGUAAAGUCAGGCGGACUCAUGUCCAGCCUGAUGAAAAGAGAUGCCGCAGGAGAGCCUUGCGUCCUAUUAGCUUGUUGGUGGGGUAACGGCCCACCAAGGCGAUGAUAGGUAGCCGGCCUGAGAGGGUGGACGGCCACAAGGGGACUGAGAUACGGCCCUUACUCCUACGGGAGGCAGCAGUGGGGAAUAUUGGACAAUGGGGGCAACCCUGAUCCAGCAAUUCGGUGUGCACGAUGAAGGUUUUCGGAUUGUAAAGUGCUUUCAGCAGGGAAGAAAAAAUGACGGUACCUGCAGAAGAAGCGACGGCUAAAUACGUG